rnacentral:lncRNA from 1 species
AUUCCAUUUGGGUUGCUCUCGGCUCCAGGAGAUGACUUCUUCAGGUCCAUAUCACUGAGGCUGUGAGUCUCAGCUAAGGAAACACCCAUGAUUCAUGGGCAUCUCUUACCCCAGCUCUCUGCCUCUUUCUGGAUGUGACCUCUACCUCCCCACCCCAUCCAUCUAGACUGCUGUGUCUGGCCUCAGUAGCAGAGGAUGUGAUCACAGAGACUGGAUAUGCAAGGUGAGGAGAUACCCGUGGGGUCCCCUCCUGCUCAGAGGAGAAAGGGCUGGGGGAAGGAUUGUGAGAGGGGUGAACUGGAGGGGGGCAGUGUGCAGCAUGUAAAGUGCAUAAAUAAACAAAUAACUAUGAAAAUAACUAAGUCUACUUGAAGGUAAGAAGCAGGUGUGUGUGUGUGUGUAAGUAAGUAGGUAAACUUGAAGAUAAGAACAGUUGUGCGUGUGUCUGUGUGUGUAAGUGUGUGUGGCUGUGUGAAUAUAU